UGACCACGACCUGACCCCCUGGGGGCUCCUGGGGCCGCUCUCGCGGCUCCUGCGGCACCACCUGGACACCGGCGAGAUCCCGGAACAGGUGACGGUCCCGGCGCUCUCCUGCCUCUUCUUCCACCUGCUCUGGGAACUCUCCCGGAUUCCCGACUCCGGAGCCGCCCCGCAGGAACGUCGGGAGUUCCUGUCCCGGGCGCGCCGGGCGCUCUCCCUGUGCC